AGAGUUUGAUCCUGGCUCAGGACGAACGCUGGCGGCGUGCUUAACACAUGCAAGUCGAACGAAAAUACCAAGCUUGCUUGGUUGAUUAGUGGCGAACGGGUGAGUAACACGUGAGUAACCUGCCCCUUACUUUCCUGGAUAACUGCUCGAAAGGGUAGCUAAUACGGGAUAUUCUGGCCUUCCUGCAUGGGUUGGUUUGGAAAGGUUGUUUUUCUGGUAAGGGAUGGGCUCGCGGCCUAUCAGCUUGUUGGUGGGGUGAUGGCCUACCAAGGCUUUGACGGGUAGCCGGCCUGAGAGGGUGACCGGUCACAUUGGGACUGAGAUACGGCCCAGACUCCUACGGGAGGCAGCAGUGGGGAAUAUUGCACAAUGGGCGCAAGCCUGAUGCAGCGACGCCGCGUGAGGGAUGACGGCCUUCGGGUUGUAAACCUCUGUUAGCAGGGAAGAAGAGAAAUUGACGGUACCUGCAGAGAAAGCGCCGGCUAACUACGUGCCAGCAGCCGCGGUAAUACGUAGGGCGCGAGCGUUGUCCGGAAUUAUUGGGCGUAAAGGGCUUGUAGGCGGUUGGUCGCGUCUGCCGUGAAAUCCUCUGGCUUAACUGGGGGCGUGCGGUGGGUACGGGCUGACUUGAGUGCGGUAGGGGAGACUGGAACUCCUGGUGUAGCGGUGGAAUGCGCAGAUAUCAGGAAGAACACCGGUGGCGAAGGCGGGUCUCUGGGCCGUUACUGACGCUGAGGAGCGAAAGCGUGGGGAGCGAACAGGAUUAGAUACCCUGGUAGUCCACGCCGUAAACGUUGGGCACUAGGUGUGAGGCUCCUUUCCGGGGGUUUUGCGCCGUAGCUAACGCAUUAAGUGCCCCGCCUGGGGAGUACGGCCGCAAGGCUAAAACUCAAAGGAAUUGACGGGGGCCCGCACAAGCGGCGGAGCAUGCGGAUUAAUUCGAUGCAACGCGAAGAACCUUACCAAGGCUUGACAUAUACUGGACCGCAUCAGAGAUGGUGUUUCCCUUCGGGGCUGGUAUACAGGUGGUGCAUGGUUGUCGUCAGCUCGUGUCGUGAGAUGUUGGGUUAAGUCCCGCAACGAGCGCAACCC
rnacentral:rRNA from 1 species